AAAACAGCACCAGACAAUAAGCUGUUUAUGCAGGAGCAUUUGUGUUUGAGGCAGUACAGCAUUAGCGGAGGACUAACUAGCCUCUCACCUUGUCAGCUUGGGCCUGCAGGGCAUUGUGAAGCAUCCUGGCCUGCUGCAGCUCCUGGGCUGAGCUCUGUGGAGGCCAUCUUCUUCUUGCCUUGUGCCAUUUCGUCGUGAAGUAACUUCAGCGUCUCCGCCUUUACACUCAGCUCUUCCUCCAGAGACGCCGUAUGACGCC